UACGAAGGGGGCUAGCGUUGCUCGGAAUUACUGGGCGUAAAGCGCACGUAGGCGGAUCGUUAAGUCGGGGGUGAAAUCCUGGAGCUCAACUCCAGAACUGCCUUCGAUACUGGCAAUCUCGAGUCCGGGAGAGGUGAGUGGAACUCCGAGUGUAGAGGUGAAAUUCGUAGAUAUUCGGAAGAACACCAGUGGCGAAGGCGGCUCACUGGCCCGGUACUGACGCUGAGGUGCGAAAGCCAGGGGAGCAAACGGG
rnacentral:rRNA from 1 species